rfam:Felis catus isolate Cinnamon breed Abyssinian chromosome A1, whole genome shotgun sequence.
GCCCGGCUGGCUCAGCUGGUGGAGCAUGCAACUCUUGAUCUCAAGGUCAUGAGUUCAAGCCCCGUGUUGGGUG